rnacentral:rRNA from 1 species
UUAAACCUCUUCCAGAGUAUCAAUUGGAGGGCAAGUCUGGUGCCAGCAGCCGCGGUAAUUCCAGCUCCAAUAGCGUAUAUUAAAAUUGUUGCAGUUAAAAAGCUCGUAGUUGAAUUUCUGCUGCAUCGUCGCAUCUCUUGCUGAGUGCUUCAUUGCGGCUUAUUUCGGAUUGAUUUUUUCUUUCCGGAUGAUUACUUUGAGAAAAUUAGAGUGCUCAAAGCAGGCUUUUGCCUUGAAUAGUUUAGCAUGGAAUAAUAAAGUAGGACUUUGGUUCUAUUUUGUUGGUUUUAGGUACCAAAGUAAUGGUUAAUAGGAACAGUUGGGGGCAUUCGUAU